rnacentral:rRNA from 1 species
GACGAAUGCUGGCUGCGUGCUUAACACAUGCAAGUCGAACGGUGAAGGGGAGCUUGCUCCCCGGAUCAGUGGCGAACGGGUGAGUAGCACGUGGGCAACCUGCCCCUCACUCUGGGAUAACUCCGGGAAACCGGGGCUAAUACCGGAUACGACCGGGAACGACAUCGCUCCUGGUGGAAAGCACUGCGGGGAGGGAUGGGCGCGCGGCCUAUCAGCUAGUUGGGGGGGUAACGGCCCACCAAGGCGACGACGGGUAGCCGGCCUGAGAGGGCGAACGGCCACACUGGGACUGAGACACGGCCCAGACUCCUACGGGAGGCAGCAGUGGGGAAUAUUGCGCAAUGGGCGAAAGCCUGACGCAGCGACGCAGCGUGAGGGACGAAGGCCUUCGGGUUGUAAACCUCUUUCAGCGGGGACGAAGCGAAAGUGACGGUACCCGCAGAAGAAGCACCGGCUAACUACGUGCCAGCAGCCGCCGUAA